GACGAACGCUGGCGGCGUGCUUAACACAUGCAAGUCGAACGAAGUGGCGAACGGGUGAGUAACGCGUAAUCAACCUGCCCUUCAGAGGGGGACAACAGUUGGAAACGACUGCUAAUACCGCAUACUGUAUGCCGUGUAUGCGUGUGAAUAGCUAGGUGGGGGGGGAAAGGCUCAACAAGUCCAUGGACAUUAGCCGGUGUGAGGGGAUGAACAGCCAACUUGGGACUGGGACACGGCCCAGACGCCUACGGGAGGCCGCAGUGGGGAAUCUUCCGCAAUGGACGAAAAUCUGACGGAGCAACGCCGCGUGAGUGAUGACGGCCUUCGGGUUGUAAAGCUCUGUUAAGCGGGACGCGGUAAAGGAAGAGAAAGCCACGGUUAACUACGUGCCAGCAGCCGCGGUAAUAG
rnacentral:rRNA from 1 species